GGAGGGUGCGAGCGUUAAUCGGAAUUACUGGGCGUAAAGCGCGCGUAGGCGGUUUGGUAAGUCGGAUGUGAAAGCCUGGGCUCAACCCGGGAAUUGCAUUCGAUACUGCCUGACUGGAGUAUGGUAGAGGGAAGUGGAAUUUCCGGUGUAGCGGUGAAAUGCGUAGAUAUCGGAAGGAACACCAGUGGCGAAGGCGACUUCCUGGGCCAAUACUGACGCUGAGGUGCGAAAGCGUGGGGAGCAAACAGGGAUUAGAUACCCUGGUAGUCCACGCCGUAAACGAUGAGAACUAGAUGUUGGGGGGGGUUGCCCUUCGGUGUCGCAGCUAACGCGUUAAGUUCUCCGCCUGGGGAGUACGCCGGCAACGGUA
rnacentral:rRNA from 1 species